rnacentral:rRNA from 1 species
UACGAAGGGGGCUAGCGUUGUUCGGAUUUACUGGGCGUAAAGCGCACGUAGGCGGAUUGUUAAGUCAGGGGUGAAAUCCUGGAGCUCAACUCCAGAACUGCCUUUGAUACUGGCAAUCUUGAGUCCGGAAGAGGUGAGUGGAACUCCUAGUGUAGAGGUGGAAUUCGUAGAUAUUAGGAAGAACACCAGUGGCGAAGGCGGACUCACUGGUCCGGUACUGACGCUGAGGUGCGAAAGCGUGGGGAGCAACAGG